GACGAACGCUGGCGGCGUGCCUAAUACAUGCAAGUCGAACGCUUCUUUCCUCCCGAGUGCUUGCACUCAAUUGGAAAGAGGAGUGGCGGACGGGUGAGUAACACGUGGGUAACCUACCCAUCAGAGGGGGAUAACACUUGGAAACAGGUGCUAAUACCGCAUAACAGUUUAUGCCGCAUGGCAUAAGAGUGAAAGGCGCUUUCAGGUGUCGCUGAUGGAUGGACCCGCGGUGCAUUAGCUAGUUGGUAAGGUAACGGCUCACCAAGGCCACGAUGCAUAGCCGACCUGAGAGGGUGAUCGGCCACACUGGGACUGAGACACGGCCCAGACUCCUACGGGAGGCAGCAGUAGGGAAUCUUCGGCAAUGGACGAAAGUCUGACCGAGCAACGCCGCGUGAGUGAAGAAGGUUUUCGGAUCGUAAAACUCUGUUGUUAGAGAAGAACAAGGACGUUAGUAACUGAACGUCCCCUGACGGUAUCUAACCAGAAAGACACGGCUAACUACGUG
rnacentral:rRNA from 1 species